UAACGAAUAUUGGGCAAUGGGCGAAAGCCUGACCCAGCAAUGCCGCGUGCAGGACGAAGUCCUUCGGGAUGUAAACUGCUGUCAGGGGUUAGCAAGCGAAGGGAGUUAACAGCUCCCGGAGUUGAGCAGCCCCAGAGGAAGCCUCGACUAACUCUGUGCCAGCAGUCGCGGUAAGACAGAGGAGGCAAGCGUUGUUCGGAAUCACUGGGCUUAAAGCGCGUGUAGGCGGCCGAGUAAGUGUUGUGUGAAAGCCCGCGGCUCAACCGCGGAACGGCACGGCAAACUGCUCGGCUUGAGGUCGGUAGAGGUGCCUGGAACUCUAGGUGGAGCGGUGAAAUGCGUAGAUAUCUAGAGGAACGCCGGAGGCGAAAGUGGGGCACUGGGCCGAUUCUGACGCUGAGACGCGAAAGCGUGGGGAGCAAACA
rnacentral:rRNA from 1 species